UACAGAGGGGGCAAGCGUUAUUCGGAUUUACUGGGCGUAAAGGGCGCGUAGGCGGCUCGGCAAGUCUGGUGUGAAAACGCUACCGCUUAACGGAGCGAGUGCGCUGGAAACUGCCGAACUUGAGUCCGCGAGAGGUUGGUGGAAUACCUGGUGUAGCGGUGGAAUGCUUAGAUAUCAGGUGGAACACCUGAGGCGAAGGCGACCAACUGGCGCGGUACUGACGCUGAGGCGCGAAAGCGUGGGGAGCGAACAGG
rnacentral:rRNA from 1 species